rnacentral:lncRNA from 1 species
CUUGUCGAUUUCAUCAAAGCGGAAGCGCAUGAGAUUUAUAUCCUAUGUGAUAACGUAUUGAUCAGUAACUAUUGGCUCGAGCCCUGUCUAGCGAUAGCGGUUCUUUCCGAGGUGUAUGGUAUACUGCCCUGGAGCAAACGAGAUUGCGGGCUUCUGCUUUCCACCAUGUCAUUGUCUAGUUUCAGCUAAUUUCACCUUCGUGUAUGCGCUACAAGGGAAGCAGGUAACACCCUCGUAAACGUCCUAAUGCUCGACUUCGCUUCGUGAAAGGCUCUCAUAACACACGAACCUACCGAACUAUAGUCUUUAGACCUUCACACUCAGACUGACCGAAGUUGUAUAACCUUUAUUACUCAGUACAUCUUUUUUUCUCAUUCUGUUACUGGCACUCGAGCUGCCGCUACCACUGUCGCCGCCAUGACCAGCACCUGCAAAGUGAUACGGAAAAGUUACAACGACUGUGGCUAACUAUGCAGCGUGUAGAUCUGCUUUGGCUUCCCGUACUUGUCAGAAGCUAAGCGAUAUUUUCAAGGACAAAAAGCGUAUCCAUUGUUUAGUGGUGCAUCUACUCAACAGCCUGGGCGCGACAGGCAACUGCGGUGGCUCGGUGAGCGCGCGAGUCAUUGGCUCGGGCUUGCAGAAAUGUCAUCGAUGUCAUAUUGACGGACUGCGAACGCUCAAAGGGAGCAAGAAAUAGAGAUAGUGACAUUUCCCUACUACACUUUUCCCGAACUCGAAAAAUGGUGGCUGCCAUCGCGUGGACUAGUUCACCAAAUGACGACUGGUGAUCGGUUGUCCUUAUUCCAUUGCGCUGCCCCUUGUACCUUUCUUCGCAUCACAUAACGUAGCAAUAAUUGGCUAGAGACGACUCCCUGGGCCGGCCAAGAGAUGCAGCAGAGCUGUUGGCCGGAAGUGAUAUAUCAUGACCGAGGGCAGACGACAAACCAGAUUGACAAGACCGGAAAUGAUUACACCUACCAGUAGGAACACGAUUUCUAAGAUGACUAAAAAGAAGGAGAGAAAGCGCGUAUUUAAGCUAUUUUUAUGUAGUAGCCAAGUAUAGUAUAUACUAAAGGGCAUCAGCACAAAAUGCGUCACAACUAUA